rnacentral:rRNA from 1 species
GACGAACGCUGGCGGCGUGCUUAACACAUGCAAGUCGAACGGUGAAGCGAGUGCUUGCACUCGUGGAUCAAUGGCGAACGGGUGAGUAACACGUGAGUAACCUGCCCAUCACUCUGGGAUAAGCACUGGAAACGGUGUCUAAUACUGGAUACGACCAACCCUUGCAUGGGGUGUUGGUGGAAAGAUUUAUCGGUGAUGGAUGGACUCGCGGCCUAUCAGCUUGUUGGCGGGGUAAUGGCCCACCAAGGCGACGACGGGUAGCCGGCCUGAGAGGGUGACCGGCCACACUGGGACUGAGACACGGCCCAGACUCCUACGGGAGGCAGCAGUGGGGAAUAUUGCACAAUGGGCGAAAGCCUGAUGCAGCGACGCCGCGUGAGGGAUGACGGCCUUCGGGUUGUAAACCUCUUUCAGCAGGGAAGAAGCGAAAGUGACGGUACCUGCAGAAGAAGCACCGGCUAACUACGUG